rnacentral:rRNA from 1 species
GGUUUCUUGAUUAUAUAAGAAAUUUAACCUGCCCCCUGAAGGAUUUUAAAGGGCCGCAGUAUUUUGACUGUGCAAAGGUAGCAUAAUAAUUAGUCUUUUAAUUGAAGGCUGGAAUGAAUGGUUGGACGAGGUAAAAGCUGUCUUAUAUUAAUUAUAUUGAAUUUAGAUUUUAAGUAAAAAGACUUAAAUAUUGUUAAGGGACGAGAAGACCCUAUAGAGUUUAAUAUUCUAAUUUUUAAUUGAGUUUAAAAGAAAUUUUUAAUUAUUAAAAGGUUUAUUUAAUUGGGGUGAUUAAAAAAUAAAAUAAACUUUUUUUUAAUUUAAAUAUUUUAUAUAGUUGAAUGAUCCAUAAAUUGUGAUUAUAAGAUUAAAUUACCUUAGGGAUAACAGCAUAAUUUUUCUUGAGAGUUCAUAUCGAGAGAAAAGAUUGUGACCUCGAUGUUGGAUUAAGAUUAUAUUUGGGUGUAGAUGUUCAAAGUUUAAGUCUGUUCGACUUUUAGAAUCUUACA